UACAGAGGUCCCAAGCGUUGUUCGGAUUCACUGGGCGUAAAGGGUGCGUAGGCGGUCGGGUAAGUCCGAUGUGAAAUCUCACAGCUUAACUGUGAAACUGCAUUGGAUACUAUCCGGCUCGAGGAAUGGAGGGGAGACUGGAAUACUUGGUGUAGCAGUGAAAUGCGUAGAUAUCAAGUGGAACACCAGUGGCGAAGGCGAGUCUCUGGACAUUUCCUGACGCUGAGGCACGAAAGCCAGGGGGGCAAACGGG
rnacentral:rRNA from 1 species